GUAGCCCAAGAGAUCGGGAUAACACCUGGAAACAGAUGCUAAUACCGGAUAACAACAGAUGAUGCCUAUCAACUGUUUAAAAGAUGGUUCUGCUAUCACUCUUGGAUGGACCUGCGGUGCAUUAGCUAGUUGGUAGGGUAACGGCCUACCAAGGCGAUGAUGCAUAGCCGAGUUGAGAGACUGAUCGGCCACAUUGGGACUGAGACACGGCCCAAACUCCUACGGGAGGCAGCAGCU
rnacentral:rRNA from 1 species